AUUGAACGCUGGCGGCAUGCUUUACACAUGCAAGUCGAACGGCAGCGCGGGCUUCGGCCUGGCGGCGAGUGGCGAACGGGUGAGUAAUACAUCGGAACGUGCCCAGUAGUGGGGGAUAGCUCGGCGAAAGCCGGAUUAAUACCGCAUACGACCUGAGGGUGAAAGCGGGGGAUCUUCGGACCUCGCGCUAUUGGAGCGGCCGAUGGCAGAUUAGCUAGUUGGUGGGGUAAAGGCCUACCAAGGCGACGAUCUGUAGCUGGUCUGAGAGGACGACCAGCCACACUGGAACUGAGACACGGCCCAGACUCCUACGGGAGGCAGCAGUGGGGAAUUUUGGACAAAGGGCGAAAGCCUGAUCCAGCAAUGCCGCGUGUGUGAUGAAGGCCUUCGGGUUGUAAAGCACUUUUGGCGGGAACGAAAAGGACUGUGCCAAUACCACGGUUCGAUGACGGUACCCGCAGAAUAAGCACCGGCUAACUACGUG
rnacentral:rRNA from 1 species